rnacentral:rRNA from 1 species
AGAGGGCGCUUUUGGCUCAGGACGAACGCUGGCGGCGCGCCUAACACAUGCAAGUCGAACGGAGCUUAGAGAGCUUGCUUUUUAAGCUUAGUGGCGAACGGGUGAGUAACGCGUGAGUAACCUGCCCUAGAGUGGGGGACAACAGUUGGAAACGACUGCUAAUACCGCAUAAGCCCACGGUACCGCAUGGUACUGAGGGAAAAGGAUUUAUUCGCUUUAGGAUGGACUCGCGUCCAAUUAGCUAGUUGGUGAGGUAACGGCCCACCAAGGCGACGAUUGGUAGCCGGACUGAGAGGUUGAACGGCCACAUUGGGACUGAGACACGGCCCAGACUCCUACGGGAGGCAGCAGUGGGGGAUAUUGCACAAUGGGGGAAACCCUGAUGCAGCGACGCCGCGUGGAGGAAGAAGGUUUUCGGAUUGUAAACUCCUGUCGUUAGGGACGAUAAUGACGGUACCUAACAAGAAAGCACCGGCUAACUACGUGCCAGCAGCCGCGGUAAAACGUAGGGUGCAAGCGUUGUCCGGAAUUACUGGGUGUAAAGGGAGCGCAGGCGGGAAGACAAGUUGGAAGUGAAAACCAUGGGCUCAACCCAUGAAUUGCUUUCAAAACUGUUUUUCUUGAGUAGUGCAGAGGUAGAUGGAAUUCCCGGUGUAGCGGUGGAAUGCGUAGAUAUCGGGAGGAACACCAGUGGCGAAGGCGGUCUACUGGGCACCAACUGACGCUGAGGCUCGAAAGCAUGGGUAGCAAACAGGAUUAGAUACCCUGGUAGUCCAUC